UGGAAGUGGUUCCAAGAAAAGCCUCUAAGCUUCAGCUGUACGAGACCGUACCGCAAACCGACACAGGUGGACGGGAUGAAUAUUCCAAGGCGCUUGAGAGAACUCAGGAGAAGGAACUCGGCAAAUUGAUACCGUAACUUCGGGAGAAGGUAUACCCCGGUAGUGUGAAGCGCUGCGCGCUUAGCAUGAUGGGGUCGCAGAGAAUCGGUGGCUGCGACUGUUUAUUAAAAAACACAGCACUCUGCAAAGACGAAAGUCGACGUAUAGGGUGUGACGCCUGCCCGGUGCCGGAAGGUUAAGUGAUGGGGUGCAAGCUCUUGAUCGAAGCCCCGGUAAACGGCGGCCGUAACUAUA
rnacentral:rRNA from 1 species